UACGUAGGGUGCAAGCGUUGUCCGGAAUUAUUGGGCGUAAAGAGCUCGUAGGCGGUUUGUCGCGUCGAAUGUGAAAACCCGGGGCUCAACCCCGGGCCUGCAUUCGAUACGGGCAGACUAGAGUUCGGUAGGGGAGUCUGGAAUUCCUGGUGUAGCGGUGAAAUGCGCAGAUACCAGGAGGAACACCGGUGGCGAAGGCGGGACUCUGGGCCGAUACUGACGCUGAGGAGCGAAAGCGUGGGGAGCAAACAGG
rnacentral:rRNA from 1 species